UGCAACCUGAGCUCAGUCGUGACUACCCGCU
rnacentral:rRNA from 1 species